rnacentral:rRNA from 1 species
AUGGCUCUUUGUUUAAUAAACAUAAAGCGUCUGGCCUGCUCAGUGAUUUUUAUUUUAACAGCCGCGGUACUCUGACCGUGCGAAGGUAGCAUAAUCAUUUGUCUYAUAAUUGAAGUCUGGAAUGAAUGGUUUGACAAGAGCAAAGCUGUCUCUAAUUAUAAAAAAAAAUUUUAUUAUUAGGUUAAAAAGCCUAAAUAAAAUUAAAAGACGAGAAGACCCUAUCGAGCUUUAAAGGUUUAUUAAAUUUUUUACAUUUAUGUAAAAAUAAUGUUAAGUGUUAUUUUAGUUGGGGCGACUCAAGAACAAAUAAAGCUUCUUGUAACUUUAUAUAUAUAAUUUGACCCUUAAUUUAGGAUUAAAAGAAUUAGUUACCGUAGGGAUAACAGCAUUAUCUUUUUUGAGAGCUCAAAUCGAAAAAAAGGUUUGUGACCUCGAUGUUGGACCAAGAUGUCCUUAAGAUGCUCAAGUCUUAAGAGGUAGGUCUGUUCGACCAUUAAAAUCUUACCUGAUCUGAGUUCAAACCGG